GUCGAAUCUCAAGAAUACAUUUAGUGGAAAAACACUGGAGUCUUCAGUUCCUAUGAUAAUGUCCCAUGCAUUUUUUGGUUGUUAUACAAGUAUGAGGAAAGCCAAUAUCAAGACGUCUUCGUCUAUCAGAUGCGUUUAAGCACAAUCUGACCUUUUCCAGGAAGAGUGAAGUUAGAAGGGUAUCAAGAAUAAAGGACGAGGAAGGCCUUGCAAAUGGUAACUCAGGGCCACAAAGAAAAAAAAAA